rnacentral:rRNA from 1 species
UACGUAGGGUGCGAGCGUUAUUCGGAAUCACUGGGCGUAAAGGGUGCGUAGACGGUAUGUUAAGUUCGUUGUUAAAGGCUCCGGCCUAACUGGAGUUCUGCGAUGAAAACUGGCAAGCUAGAGGGUGAGAGAGAGAAGUGGAAUUCCCGGAGUAGCGGUAAAAUGCGUGGAUCUCGGGAGGAACACCAAUGGCGAAGGCAGCUUCUUGGCUCAUUCCUGACGUUGAGGCACGAAAGCGUGGGGAGCAAACAGG